rnacentral:rRNA from 1 species
CCUACGGGGGGCUGCAGUGGGGAAUAUUGGACAAUGGGGGGAACCCUGAUCCAGCCAUGCCGCGUGUGUGAAGAAGGCCCUCGGGUUGUAAAGCACUUUCAGUGAGGAAGAACGCCUGGUGGUUAAUACCCAUCAGGAAAGACAUCACUCACAGAAGAAGCACCGGCUAACUCCGUGCCAGCAGCCGCGGUAAUACGGAGGGUGCGAGCGUUAAUCGGAAUUACUGGGCGUAAAGCGCGCGUAGGUGGCUUGAUAAGCCGGUUGUGAAAGCCCCGGGCUCAACCUGGGAACGGCAUCCGGAAGUGUCAAGGGAGAGUGCAGGAGAGGAAGGUAGAAUUCCCGGUGUAGGGGUGAAAUGCGUAGAGAUCGGGAGGAAGACCAGUGGCGAAGGAGGCCUUCGGGACUGACACUGACAAUGAGGUGCGAAAGCGUGGGUAGCAAACAGGAUUAGAUACCCUAGUAGUC